CACCGCUUGACACUUCCUGUUUGUACUCAGCUGCUAGCUUAGCCUCGCACAGUGUCUGAAUCGGUGUGGCUCUCGGCUCUCCAUCAUGAAUACGGUUCUGUCCAGAGCGAACUCUCUGUUCGCCUUCUCUCUGAGCGUCAUGGCGGCUCUAACGUUCGGCUGUUUCGUCACCACUGCCUUCAAAGACAGAAGAGUUCCUGUGGACAUCCACGUCUCCAAAGUCAUGCUGAAGAACGUUGAUGACUUCACAGGACCCAGAGAGCGCAGUGAUCUGGGUUUCCUCACCUUUGACCUCUCAGCUAAUCUGCAGCCAAUUUUUGACUGGAACGUGAAACAGCUAUUUCUUUAUCUGUCUGCCGAGUAUGCCUCAAAGAGUAAUUCUCUGAAUCAGGUGGUGCUUUGGGAUAAGAUCGUCCUUCGAGGUGAAAACACCAAGCUGAACCUCAGAGACAUGAAGUCUAAAUACUUCUUCUUUGACGAUGGGAACGGACUCAGAGCCAACAAGAACAUCACUCUGACGCUGUCAUGGAAUGUUGUUCCCAAUGCUGGAAUCCUGCCUCUUGUCGCUGGAAGUGGACACGUCAGCCUCCCCUUCCCAGAGACAUACGAGACCACCAGGAGCUAUUAGACACACACACACAUCCAAACACAUCCAUCCACACACAUCCAUCCACAUCCACACAUACACACACACACAGAUGAAACAAGAGCAUUCAGGAGCAGACUGAUGACUAACACACAAUACACUGGUUUUUCUUAAAACAUGUAAAUUAAUGUUUGGUUUGUAAUAAAAGUUGAGAUUGGAACAUGA